rnacentral:rRNA from 1 species
UACAGAGGUCUCGAGCGUUAGGCGGAAUCACUGGGCUUAAAGCGUGUGUAGGCGGCUCGGUAAGUACCUUGUGAAAUCCCACAGCUUAACUGUGGAACUGCUUGGUAUACUGCCGGUCUUGAGCCAGCUAGGGGCUACCGGAACAAAUGGUGGAGCGGUGAAAUUCGUAGAUAUUAGGAAGAACACCAGUGGCGAAGGCGGCUCACUGGAUCGGUACUGACGCUGAGGUGCGAAAGCGUGGGGAGCAAACAGG